AACCCAUGGUGAGAGCAUCUUUUCAAUAGAUCCUUGUAUCUCUCCCAUGCAUCAUAGAGUGUUUCUAGAUCCAUCUACACAAAAGAAGAGAUAUCAUUCCUUAAUUU
rfam:Gossypium arboreum cultivar AKA8401 contig_51927_1, whole genome shotgun sequence.